UACGAAGGGUGCAACCGUUGCUCGGAAUUAUUGGGCGUAAAGCGCACGUAGGCGGCUCUAUAAGUCGGAUGUGAAAUCCCUCGGCUCAACCAAGGAAGUGCAUUCGAAACUGUAGAGCUUGAGUAGUUAAGAGGAUCGCGGAAUUCCCGGUGUAGAGGUGAAAUUCGUAGAUAUCGGGAGGAACACCAGUGGCGAAGGCGGCGAUCUGGGAACAUACUGACGCUGAGGUGCGAAAGCGUGGGGAGCAAACAGG
rnacentral:rRNA from 1 species